rnacentral:rRNA from 1 species
AUUGAACGCUGGCGGCAGGCCUAACACAUGCAAGUCGAGCGAGCGGCGGACGGGUGAGUAAUGUCUGGGAAACUGCCUCAUGGAGGGGGAUAACUACUGGAAACGGUAGCUAAUACCGCAUACCAUCACGUGUGCCCAGAUGGGGUUAGCUCGUAGGUGGGGUAACGGCUCACCUAGGCGACGAUCCCUCGCUGGUCUGAGAGGAUGACCAGCCACACUGGAACUGAGACACGGUCCAGACUCCUACGGGAGGCAGCAGUGGGGAAUAUUGCACAAUGGGCGCAAGCCUGAUGCAGCCAUGCCGCGUGUGUGAAGAAGGCCUUCGGGUUGUAAAGCACUUUCAGCGGGGAGGCGUUACCCGCAGAAGAAGCACCGGCUAACUCCGUGCCAGCAGCCGCGGUAAUUC